CCUACGGGCGGCAGCAGUGAGGAAUAUUGGUCAAUGGACGAGAGUCUGAACCAGCCAAGUAGCGUGAAGGAUGACUGCCCUAUGGGUUGUAAACUUCUUUUAUAUGGGAAUAAAACGUUCCACGUGUGGGAUUUUGUAUGUACCAUAUGAAUAAGGAUCGGCUAACUCCGUGCCAGCAGCCGCGGUAAUACGUAGGAUCCGAGCGUUAUCCGGAUUUAUUGGGUUUAAAGGGAGCGUAGGUGGAUUGUUAAGUCAGUUGUGAAAGUUUGCGGCUCAACCGUAAAAUUGCAGUUGAAACUGGCAGUCUUGAGUACAGUAGAGGUGGGCGGAAUUCGUGGUGUAGCGGUGAAAUGCUUAGAUAUCACGAAGAACUCCGAUUGCGAAGGCAGUUCACUGGACUGCAACUGACACUGAGGCUCGAAAGUGUGGGUAUCAAACAGGAUUAGAUACCCCAGUAGUC
rnacentral:rRNA from 1 species